CCAGUAGUCAUAUGCUUGUCUCAAAGAUUAAGCCAUGCAUGUCUAAGUAUAAGCAAUUAUACAGCGAAACUGCGAAUGGCUCAUUAAAUCAGUUAUCGUUUUAUUUGAUAGUACCUUACUACUUGGAUAACCGUGGUAAUUCUAGAGCUAAUACAUGCUAAAAAUCCCGACUUCGGAAGGGAUGUAUUUAUUAGAUUAAAAACCAAUGCCCUUCGGGGCUUUCUGGUGAUUCAUAAUAACUUCUCGAAUCGCAUGGCCUUGCGCCGGCGAUGGUUCAUUCAAAUUUCUGCCCUAUCAACUUUCGACGGCUGGGUCUUGGCCAGCCAUGGUGACAACGGGUAACGGAGGGUUAGGGCUCGACCCCGGAGAAGGAGCCUGAGAAACGGCUACUACAUCCAAGGAAGGCAGCAGGCGCGCAAAUUACCCAAUCCCGACACGGGGWRGUAGUGACAAUAAAUACGUGAUACAGGGCUCUUUUGGGUCUUGUAAUUGGAAUGAGUACGAUUUAAAUCUCCUAACGAGGAACAAUUGGAGGGCAAGUCUGGUGCCAGCAGCCGCGGUAAUUCCAGCUCCAAUAGCGUAUAUUAAAGUUGUUGCAGUUAAAAAGCUCGUAGUUGAACCUUGGGCCUGGCUGGCCGGUCCGCCUCACCGCGUGCACUGGUCCGGCCGGGCCUUUCCCUCUGGGGAACCUCAUGCCCUUCACUGGGUGUGCUGGGGAACCAGGACUUUUACUUUGAACAAAUUAGAUCGCUUAAAGAAGGCCUAUGCUCGAAUACAUUAGCAUGGAAUAAUAGAAUAGGACGUGUGGUUCUAUUUUGUUGGUUUCUAGGACCGCCGUAAUGAUUAAUAGGGACAGUCGGGGGCAUCAGUAUUCAAUUGUCAGAGGUGAAAUUCUUGGAUUUAUUGAAGACUAACUACUGCGAAAGCAUUUGCCAAGGAUGUUUUCAUUAAUCAGGAACGAAAGUUAGGGGAUCGAAGACGAUCAGAUACCGUCGUAGUCUUAACCAUAAACUAUGCCGACUAGGGAUCGGACGAUGUUAUUAUUUGACUCGUUCGGCACCUUACAAGAAAUUAAAGUUUCUGGGUUCUGGGGGGAGUAUGGUCGCAAGGCUGAAAC
rnacentral:rRNA from 1 species